rnacentral:rRNA from 1 species
UCGAAGAAGUGCUGUGUCUGAAAAUUUAAUUUAAACUAACUUUAAGGUGAAGAGGCCUUUAUGUAAAAGAAGGACGACAAGACCCUAUGAAGCUUUAUCUUAAUUGGAGUUUUUGGCUCUUAUACGAUUUUGAUGGGAGAUCAGUGAAAAUAAGUCUUUCACUAUUAUAUAAAUCUAACUCGUAUUUCCUAACUUUAUAUGUGUGGCUAGCUACUCUAGGGAUAACAGCGCAAUUUCUCCCGAAAGAUGGUAUUGGAGGGGAAGAUUGCGACCUCGAUGUUGGCUUUAGAUAUCCUAGAGGCGUAGAAGCUUCUAAUGGUGGGUCUGUUCGCCCUUUAAAAUCUAACAUGAGCUGAGUUCAGAACRG